rnacentral:rRNA from 1 species
AUGGCUUCCUUGCAGAUGGUGAAGGCGAUUCAGCCUCUGAGUGAUGUGGUUGAUUCAAUGCAUGGAUGGCUGUUGCGGGCUGGGAGCCUUCUGGAGCGUGCAGAGGUUGCUCUGGGCAGGCUAUCUCCUGCGACGGCCGAGGCGCCACUCCCUCCUAUGUCGCCUCCUUUGCCAAAGCUUGUCGUUGACUUCGAGGGCGACAAAGAUGUGGAUCUCUAUGGCUGCUUCUCCCCUCGUGGUUUGGGCUUCUCGCCCCGUGUUGGGUCCAGUUCGACGCCCCAAGUGUUGCCGGACUUCGAGGGUGUGGCCUCCGUCGAGGUAGUGCCUCCGGUGUUGCAGAUCAUGCCCGAGCUGCAGAUGUUGAGUGGGGAACUUGUUUCACCUUUGUCGAUGGAGCAACUCAAGUUGGACUCUCCCCAGGCUUCGGAGGUGGACUUGGUGUCCUCACCACCCCCCAUGGAGCCUUGUAAGGCGUCAAACAGCCUACCUCUCAACGUCAUGGAGAGCGGAGCAUGGAAUCUGAGGAAUAAUGUAGUACAUGGGGAUGGAAAGGAUACAGUUACAGGAUCAGUGCAGUAUCUUACGAGGUUACAAGAUGAAUUGCUGGUAACUGCAUGUGGUCUAAGGGAGCAUUCUGACAACGGCAAAGUGUCACUACACCCUGCUAAUCCGGAAGCUACAGCCCCCAUUCCUCCUAGUCAUUGGAUAGCUCCCCCGCUAGGAAUGGCCAAGGUGAAUUCUGAUGCGGCUUUCAUAGGAGAGACGGGAGACACAUGGGGUGGCGCUGUGGCCAGAGAUCACUUGGGACGUGUUUUCAUGUCCAUUGGAAGGCGCCUGAACCGGUGCAGUUCACUGGAGGAAGCAGAAGGGGCUGCAGCGCUGCUAGGCUUGACUGAAUUUGCGAAACGUUUCAGAGGUCAGGAGAAGCUCUCUUUGUUCUCCUGCUCGGGAAUAAGUAUUGUAAGCAGGAGCAAAAAUAAGCUGGCGCACGAGCUCGCGGCCGUCGCGAGAAGAUCAGUUGUCGAUCUCGCCAGUAAAUAUACAUCGCUCCAAGAAGAUAGGAGGAGGAGGAUGGAGGCGGCGAGGUCGUCCUCCGCCGAGACGACGACGGCGUCGACGGGCGCCAUCGCCGGCCGUCGGCUGCUCGUGAGGAGCUACUCCGCCGGAAGCAGCAGCAGCGGCCGCGUGAGGGCGCGGGUGGUGCGGCUGAGGAGGAGGGCCAGGGAGCACCGGGCGCCGCUGCCUCCACAUGCUCCUCUGCUGGCGCGACGACACCUGAUGCCAUCCGGCCUCGUCGUCCGUCCAAUCUCCAUCGCCAUUUCCAUACAGCUCGGCCAGCUAAGUAAGCUCGCUCGCUCGGUAGCUCCGCGGGUCACUCCGUUUGAUUAG